GUGACCUCUUGAUCGUGAGAUAAAUGAUGUUGAAAAAUUAUAAAAUUUGAUUUCUAGAAGUUUUAAAUGCUGUAAAUAAUGUUUAACGGUAUGGAUCGUCGAUUCGAAAGCUCUAUCAUCGAAAAUGAUUUAUGAGUACGAGAGCGAUCGUACUCAUAAUAGUAUAGUAGCCGGACCCUCAAAUAUGAGUUAAAAUUUAACGAUAGAUUGAAAACUUUUUAAUGUUUUUUGAAUUUUAACGAACUUAAAAUUUAAGUAUGUGUUUUAAACUAAAAGUAUCAAAAUUUUAAUAUGCCUUUAAUUCAAAAUCAAAUUUGAUAUCCAAAAUUAAAUUUAAUUCACGAUUUAAACUCAAAUUUUAUACAAUAAAAAAUAGACUAUAUAAUUAUCAUCGACAACAAUUAUUUAAAUUUGAGGUAGGAUAUGAUAGAAAUUUUCUAAUAAAAUAUAAAUGAUGAAUUUAGUUUUUUAAAAUGUUAAAGUACAGAAAACCUCCUGUUAAUACCCACUUUUUCACUUUCACUUCCGUCAUUUAAAAAUCUACACUUUGCCCCCUUGUAAAAUAAAAAAUGUUCACUUCACCCCUACCGUUAGUGCUCCGUUACAGUUCUAUUUAUAAAAUAUUAUUAUAUAGUUUAUUAUACCAAAAAUACCCUCAUCCUUCUCUCCUCAACAUUGUUGCUCGCUCUUCUCCGCCUGGCCACCUCGCCCUCUUUCGCUGCCUCGCCCUUGCCCACAUCUCCAUCCGCGCCCAUAAACACCCCCUCGCCCUCCUCCGUUGCCUCGCCUUUGCCGUCACCCUUGCCCACCUCUCCAUCCACGCCCACCUUGAUUUUAUCCCUACUGUCGUCGAAAUAGAGGGGCGAUGAGGGUGUAGGAGGAGAAGGAGAGUAGGUGGAGAAGAAAAUGGAGACGAACUACUGCCGAUCAAGGCGCGAAAAAUGAAAGAGAAGAGGCGGCGGAUGAGCAAGAUUGAGGAGAAGACGAAAAUGGUGAGGGGCAAAUUGGUCAUUUUGUCAUCACAGUUCACACCGUACUCCCCUGUGAAUAUUUUUUAUUUUACAAGGGGGCAAAGUGUAGGUUUUAAAUGACAAGGGGGGAAAGUAAAAAGGCAGGUAUUGACAGGGAGGUUUUAUAUAAUUUAGCCAUUUUAAAAUUUAAAUUCUUAUUACAAAUUUUUGGAUAAAU
rnacentral:lncRNA from 1 species